CAUACAUUGUUUUUUUCUCAACAGUCAACGUUACAUGUUGUUUUAUGUCCAAAUUGUUGUUUUUUUUUAAAUACUACAUUUUUUAUUUUUCCACUUUUCUCUCCUCUGUGUGACAUCACUUCCUGUAUUUGACGUCUCACCAUAUCCCAUAAUUCUCUCCUGUUUUCCUCUCAGUUAGUUCUUCUCCAUCUGCGUCUAAAAAAAAAAAACUCAACUCAAUCAAAAUCAGCUUUAUUUGCACAGAGCCAAACCACAGCGUGGAUUAUCUGAAGCCACUUUAUGAUGACUCUCUUCCUCCUCCUCUUCCUCCUCCUCUUCCUCUUCCUCUUUCUCUUCCUCUUCCUCCUCCUCUUCCUCUUCCUCUUCCUCUUCCUCUAACAACCCUAAUGCCCCACACUGGUCCUUCACAGACCUGGUCAGAUCCAGGACGUCACUGCUGUGCUGACGAUUACCUACCACUAUCACUAAAACAGUCCGUGCUGAAGCGACUACGUGGCCACGCCCCCCUUACCCAGAGUCACUGCCGUGAAAGUGGGCGUGUUUUUGGCGUGUUUUGCCCCUAAGACCCGACAGACGACCGUCAGCUUCUACAGCAGGAACAUCUCAGCUGAGGGUUGGAGGUCUACGUCAGGCUGGAGCUGUGGGUCAGCGGCCGACACUGACACCGAAGAUACGGUUCUGGGUUCAAAGAUGUGGUGUAAAAACCAACAUAGAACUCUGGUAGAACCAGGUGAUAUAUCGACUGAUCAUGAUUAGUUCUUGGUACGUGGAUGUCGUCUUCCUUCAGAUCCCUGACCUUUUUCCAUCCUUCUUCCUUACGUGCAUUACACUCCCUUCCUCCCUCCCUCCCUCGUCUGUAUACCAUAUUUAUGAGCAGCACUCUCGCCCUGCUGCAGACAAGAGUGGGUGGAAAGGGGCUCCGAGGCCGACACACCCAACAACAGGAAAGGAGUUUGCUUUUGGCCGUGGGCUUAAAAAAAAAAAAAAAAUCCUAGAGUGUCUGUCUAACCUUUGGAGAACAGCAUGAUGCAACAGGCCUGCAACCAAAAAGAAAAUCACCGCUGUCACGCAAAAAAACCCAAAAAACUCAGAAACUCGUCACUUUGACCAUCAUGAUGUAAACGAAAAAAAUCUGAAGGCAACCGGACUGAGAAUCCUUAAAAACCUGCCCUGGGUCUUUGAGUUCAGGAAAGAAAGAAGUGAAAAGUUAAGCUGGAGGUGAAGAGAGGUUUGUUGUUUCAAGGGUGUAUUCUCCUUCGUAGGGAGGAUGAGGAGUCAUGAUUGGUGUCAUGUGGGUGGAGGGCUUGUGGGAUUUGAUAAUCCAAACUGUUGGGGAGGGGGGAGAGUGGGAGGGGGGGGGGGGGG